AUAUCCACACCCAUAGAGCAUAAUUGGUUCAGAGAGGUGUGACCUUUCAUAGGCAGCAGCCUACAUCCGAUGAAGCCUUACCAGUCUCUAGGUUGGGAACCUCUGACUAUAGGAAAAGGUGUCUAGGGGAUGUGUUUUAUUCUCUUUUUCCCCUUCACUCAACCUAUAGAGAUGUUUGAUAAGCUCUGGUAUUAAAAGAGGUAAAAAAUGUCAAAGGAAAAAGGGAGAUGACUCAUCUAAACUAAGCCAGAAAAGGAAACGGAAGAACACUCAGUGAGAGAAGAUUAUGAUAACAUGUGCCAGUAACAAACUGUCCCAUGCUCCUGCAAUCUGUUUUGACACUGGAGUUAUUACUUUAAUAACCAAAGCACAAAGCAAAUCAUACUGAAGAUGCAUCUGGAAGGCCAGGAAGGCAAGAAGAGGACAGCAUAAAUAUGGUCUGAGAUGCAAAGAUGGUAUUAAUCUUCCUUUUGGCUUGCAAGGAGGCACUGUGUGUGUGUUUUAUGAGAUCUUCCUGCACUGGGCUUCAGAAGCCUGAAGGCUGUUCUGGUUUAUACAUACUACUCAGAGCAUCAAGAAGCCAAGCUUCAGCUAUGGAUUAGCUCACACUAAGGGCUGCUGUCUGGAAACUAUUUCUCCUUAGUCAUGCUCCUCAUGCUGGCUGCACAUUGUUAGUAUGGAUGAUCCUUCUGGGGCAGGAUGGGCUAGUUCAAAGGCCAGAAUUAGUCAGCAGUAUCAUGCAAAACAAAUGCACUGUGUGCUACUGGACCCAUCUUGCAAUUCAUUGUGUUAAUUCUUAGUGGGAAAUGGAUUAACUUGGCAACAUAUGUCGUAAAUGGCACAUAGUUGGAGUCGGAAUA